UGUUAUUUAGAUUAUUUUAAAUUAUUCAAUUGUCAAUUGGAAGAAGCUUGGAGAGAGCAAUAGCAU
rnacentral:tRNA from 1 species